CCUACGGGGGGCUGCAGUGGGGAAUUUUGGACAAUGGGGGCAACCCUGAUCCAGCCAUUCCGCGUGAGUGAAGAAGGCCUUCGGGUUGUAAAGCUCUUUCGCAAGGGAAGAAAACUUACUCAAUAACACUGGGUGAGGCUGACGGUACCUUGAUAAGAAGCACCGGCUAACUACGUGCCAGCAGCCGCGGUAAUACGUAGGGUGCGAGCGUGAAGUAAGGUGAGUGGGCGUAAAGCGUGAGCAGGCGGUUGAAAUCCCCGGGCUCAACCUGGGAACUGCGUUUGAAACUACAAGGCUAGAGUAUGGCAGAGGGGGGUAGAAUUCCACGUGUAGCAGUGAAAUGCGUAGAGAUGUGGAGGAAUACCAAUGGCGAAGGCAGCCCCCUGGGUCAAUACUGACGCUCAUGCACGAAAGCGUGGGGAGCAAACAGGAUUAGAUACCCGAGUAGUC
rnacentral:rRNA from 1 species